GACUGAAGUUUUAGGAUAGGAAGUCUGAUGGGAUACAAAACAAGGUCGGGGGUGUGAGGUUUAUCAUAUAGGUGUAUCCAUGAACAAGAUUUCAGCUAGCCGCCAAAUUGCAUUGCCCACCUGUUGAAUAAAGGAAGGAAACAAGUUCCUUGCAAGGUUAUUGAAGUUUUGAUGAUAGAUAAUGAAACACGGUAUUACUAUCAGUUAUCGGUAUUACUCUUUACUGGUGAUAAACUAAAAUACUAUUUCUCUAUCCCUAAGAGAACAGCAUCUAUGUUUUCACUUUGCUACACCUCUGAUGCAGUCAUAAAGAAGCCUUGGAUAAAGAAAUUGUGUUUUUUAUUCUUCAACUUUGUAUUUUGAUUUAGGUUUCUAUGAAAUUUUAGUCGUAGGAUUCAAGGCUAUUUAUAUGUUGGUUAGUUUGCCAGGGCUGGAAAUUUUGUUUAGUUUCAUUUGCUUCCUAUUAUUUAGGGGUUAUUUAUUGUUCAAUAUUUUUCAUUUAAAUCAAAAUCAGAGAACUCCACAUAUAUUUUAUUAUUGUGCUCCUUCAUUGUUAGUUUUGGAGUUUGAACAUAGAAAUCUUAUUCUCUCCAACUCUAUUUGUUUUCUCUUCUCUAUAGUUUCUUGCUUUUCUUCCUUCUCUUUCUCUGUCUCUUUCUGUUCUGUGUAUUAUCUCUCUUUCUCCUCUUGUUGGAAUUUUGCAACCAAGUCCUCUCACUGAUAGCCAAGGUACUAAUAUAACAUACAGAAAACUUGGAAUUAGGGUUUUUCUCGGCCAACUGCCUACCACACAAACAUCAAGAACUCUGAGAGUACAUCAUCAGUUCUCUAAAGUUGUCUUUUGCUGGACAAAACCUGCAUUCAUAAAGGUUAAGAGGAGCAACUCUUCAAACUCUACCGUGAACAGUAAUCUUUCGGAGCAGGAAGAAUGAAAAAUUCAGGAAGGUCAUGGCAUCUUUUUCUCUCUAUUUCUAUAACUCGCCAUAGCAGA